AAUGUUAAGGGAAGCCAGAGAGAAAGGUCGGGUUACCCACAAAGAGAAGCCCAUCAGACUAACAGUGAUCUCUCCGCCGAAACCCUACAAGCCAGAACAGAGUGGGGGCCAAUAUUCAACAUUCUUAAAGAAAGGAAUUUUCAACCCAGAAUUUCACAUCCAGCCAAACUAAGCUUCAUAAAUGAAGGUGAAUGCAAAAACAUGCCACAUUGUAAAGACCAGCGGUGCUGUGAAGAAACUGCAUCAAUUAAUGGGCAAAACAACCAGCUAGCAUCAUAAUGACAGGACCAAAUUCUCACAUAACAAUAUUAACCUUAAAUGUAAAUGGGCUAAAUGCCUCAAUUAAAAGACACAGACUGCAAAUUGGAUAAAGAGACAAGAUCCAUCAGUGUGCUGUAUUCAGGAGACCCAUCUCACAUGCAAAGACACACAUAGGCUCAAAAUAAAGGAAUGGAGGAAUAUUUACCAAGCAAAUGGAAAGCAAAAAAAAGGAGGGGUGGCAAUUCUAGUCUCUGAUAAAACAGACUUUAAACCAACAAAGAUCAAAAGAGGAAUAGAAGGGCAUUACGUAAUGGUAAAGGGAAUAAUGCAACAAGAAGAGCUAACUAUUCUAAAUAUGUAUACAUCCAAUACAGGAGCACCCAGAUUCAUAAA
rnacentral:lncRNA from 1 species